AGCAGCCUCCCCCAAUCCACAGCUGCAUACAGAUGGACUGAGCACAAGUUUUAUACCGAAUGCCCUUCCUGAUGCAAACCUUCCUGUUGUCAGCAACAAGGAGUGGGUUUCAAACGAGGACCAACUUGAAGGGCCACUUGCUGUCGCAUCUGAGUCAUUGACAACCUCAGUAAGAUAUCGACAGUGUUUUGAGACAAGAAGGAGGGUUGUCUAUUACUCAUGUGACGGAAUUUACAGCGUUAUUCCAGAUGAUUCAUCUGCAGGACCAUGUACUUCACGUGUGCUGUACACCACUUCUGUCAUUAAGCAAAGAAAGUCAUCAUGAAA